UCUAUUCUUCAUCCCUCGCUCUCACCUCCCUAUCUUACCGAUGACAUCCAUGACAUCCAGAGUUGACGAAUAUCUUGAAGGUUAGCAAGUGCAUGCGAGCUUCAAAUAUCUUCUCUGUUAAGAAAUGUUUCUUUUUAAUAUUUCACUCACUUUUAAUUAGUAUACUCUCUCCGUCUUAAAAUAAGUGUCCCAACUUUGUAUUAACUAUAGUAUUCCCUCCAUUUGUAAAUAUAAGUCUUUUUAAACUACAUACGGAGCAAAAUGAGUGAAUCUUUACUUUAAAAUAUGCCUAUAUAUAUUCACAUGUAGUCCGUAUUAAAAAAUUUAAAUACACUUAAAUUUAGAAACGAAGGGAGUAUAAAAUUGUGUAUAAAAUUGUAUUGAGAGACUUAUUUUAUAACAGAGGGAGUAUCUGAUAAUGUGGUGACAACUAACAACAUCAAGGAAUAGUCGGUGCUCUUCCGUAAAAUAAAUAAUCGAUGCUAGCACGCAUGCACCGAGUAGCUUCUAUGGUGUGGCCGGUACAACAUGAAGAAAAGCACCGACCGCCCACUGCUUGCCUUAUCCCAUCGCCACUCCUCUCCUUCUCUUAUCCAGAUCGCCGUCCCAGCGUGGUCCUCUUCCUCUUCUCCAUCCAACCCAGCCAGAAGCUUGAUCUGGCCGUUCGCCCCAGUCGCCGGUCCCGUGGGUCAGCAGCCUCGCCUCCACCUGAUUCAGUCGCGUCCUCCUUCCCAAGGCUUUCUCCGAUCUGCCAACCCACCACCCCACCACGCCUCGCUCUCUCUGCCCCCUCCUUCCCCAUGCAGCGCCGAUGGGGCAGGGCCUCCGCGGCCGCCGGCGCCCUCUGCGACUCCUCUUCUCCAUGAUUCGCCCGCUAUUACUCCUCUCCUCCACGAUUCGUGGUGAUGUUGGGGUGGCAUCUUCUUCGAGCGGGAGGUGUGCCUCGUCCUCGCACAUGCUCGGCCGCGCCAUCGGAGCCCCCCGCAGAGGCAGUGCUCCGCCACCCGAUGCUGUUCUUCGCGUCGUCCCGCGCUCCCAAAGCUGGGAACCGGCUCCCCGCCUCCAAGUUCUCGGCAUCGACGUCCCGUGCUGCCUGCAUCCUCGCCAAGCCCGACUCGCAGCCGUGUAGCCCGAGCUCGCCAAGGCGCUUCAACUCCGCCGCCGCGCCAUCUUCUUCAGGCGCUCGAGCACGAGCACAAGCUCGCCCGCGCCCCACCUCUCUCUGUCGCUCCGUCCGCCGCCCGCGGUGCCGUGACCCGUCACUGCCGUGCCCUGCAUCACUCUGUAGCCGCGCCGCCUGGGUCGAUGCGGUCAGCGCUCCCAAGCCGUUGACCCCGCGCCAGGGGACGACUAUUUCCUCCCAUGCGUGCGCGCCCGUGCUCCAGCCCUCCCCUCCCCAUGCUGCCGGCACACUCGCGCCGCGGGGCCGUAUCCAGCCUGUGCCUGGACGACGGAAGCCCCCCCACUGUCCGUGCGCUCCGGCCAGCUCCCUGUCGCGCUCGAGACCUCCUCGAGUCUUCCCGCCGAGGCCUUCCCCAUGACCAGCCUUUGACUUGGGUCUCCUGUCCGCCUCGGCGCGGACGCCCGCCACGACGCCGGUGGCAAGCGGCGGCGCGUGCCCGCUCAUGGAGAACGGCAGGAUAAGCGGUGAGAGGCGCGGUGGUGAGCCAGUCCAAUAAGAGAUAAGGGUUGCGGGUAUAAUUUCUAACAAAUGCAGGGGUUUUUUACGCAAAAACAAAACAUUUUUCUAAAUUGCCACUAAAACAGGGACUGCGGGUUGAUUUAUGUAAACCGAGGGGCUUUUUUGUAAAACUGCCAGGAAAAAAAAUCAAUCGCGGGACGGAACUAAGAAUAUCACCUUGCUUUAAUAGUAGGUAUAGAUAUAGAUUAUAUGUAUAUAUAUAUAUAUAUAUAUAUAUAUAUAUAUAUAUAUCUUUACCUACUAAUAAACCAUCGAUUGCUUCUGGUAGUACGUCACCGGCCGUUUUGUAGAAAAGUCCUCCCGUUUUUGAGAAAUUAACCCGCACUACCUUUUCAAGUUGUUAUCUAAAAAACGCUUUAGGUUUACAAAAAGGACCCUAUAUUGUUUGAUAUUCAACUCGCGGUCACUUCAACAGAGUUUCAGCCCGGCCAUCACGCACACAAACUCUGUCUGGUCGUGCGUUUACGUUCGAUUUUUUUGUCACGCAUCGCUCCUCUAAACUGAUUCUCAUUAGUUUAUAUACAAUUGCAGAUUAUCCGUAAUAUUAAUCAGACUUCUCAAAAAACAACAAACAUACUGCAAAUACAUGAGAGAGAACAAUGAGGAGUGAAGAAAGAUCCGCGGGCGAGUCCCUCAGAUUCUCACGAGAAUCAAAGGCAAAAAAAGAAAUAACCCAUCAUGAUGGGAAGGCAACGAAGAGAAUCGGAGUCCUCGAGAAGGAGAGGGUGUUCUGACAGCCGCCGUUGACGCGGGCGUGAUGCGGACAGGAUCCAGCGGCGGGUAUCUGGUGGUCUGCAACGGCGUGGCGUGACGCGGACAGGAUCCAGCGGCGGCACUCCGGAUCUGGUGGUCUGCAACGGCGUGUCAGCGACUGGCUUCACAUUGGCCUACAAGCAUAGAACAAGAUGAGUAUCCGUGGAUGUACGGGAUGAGAAUCCGUGUGCCACCGCUGGCCGAGACGCUGACCUCCUCCUCACGGUCAACGCAAGCAGAGGCGCGCGAGGAUGAGCGGCGCGGGAUCGGCUGGAUCCGGAGCACGGGGCGGCGAGUUCGCGGGGGCGGGGUGCGCUGGAUAGAUAGGAAGAGGAGAGAUGGGUGGUGAUGUGAGGUGGAUGGAGAGUAGAUGAGGAGGACCAGCGGCCUCAGUUCUUGAGGAUAAGAGAAGAAGAAGCGGGGCUUGCUAUUGCUACCUCUCGCUGGUGGGUGGUGAAUGAACGACUCGACCGACAAGAAAAAGCGGCUGGGUCGGGGGCAGUGCGAGGGUCCUAUGAAGUACGUGGCAAAGUUAAGUUGACGCGUGUGCGAGUCGAGCCAGCGGGGUGAGUCACGGUGUGCGCUUGAUGUCAAAGAACAAUCAGUUGGUUCGGACCAACACUAUGAAAAGAAAUUGCACUGAGUUCUGUUGGAUGGCUAUACGUGCUAGCACUGAUUAAAAGAAAUCGGAUGAACACCUAUUAUAUUACUUGCUGUUGUUUGUUACUUGAUGUUGUUUUUACAUUAUCAAAUGUAAUAAUUAAGAGUGGAUUAAAUAUUGGAAAGAAAUAUUUCUUAAGGAAUAAGAUAUUUGAGGCUCACCUGUACUUGCUGACCAGAACUUUGAAUGUCAUCGAUGUCGUUUGUGAGAUAGGGAGGGAUAAAGAAUAAAGAGAGUGCAACAACGAUGCAUCUUGCUCGCGUUCUGUUUCGCCCUCACAAUAGCUGGGAUUGCGAGAUACAAGACUUAAUAUAUGAUCUAUUUCAAGCUGCUAAAGGCAUGCGGAUGAUGCACAAUUACCGUCGCACUGAAGGAAUAAACGUUUAGAUUUCUGUAAUAUUUUGACACAGGAUUAUUGAAUAUCAACAAUUUGUUACACAUAAUUCAACUUCUUUAGAGCGAGUUGAAGUAGUGGGUUUUAUUAGCAGAGAAGAAGAUUACGAGCUUUUGGAAUACAAUGGGAUCUUCAUAAAGUGGAUCCUUAUGCGAAUACCACACGAACUCUUAAAUGUAUUUCUUAUCCGUUGCAACGCACGGGCAUUUUUGCUAGUCUUUACCUACUUAAUAAAUAAACCAGCGAUCGUUUUUGUCGUACGUCGUCAGCCAUUUUGCACAAAAGUCCCCCUGUUUUCUAAGAAUUCAACCCGCCGUCCCUAUGUAAGUGGAUCUGAAAAAACGAUUCAUUUUUAUAGAAAAAAGCCCUACGUUUCCAAGAAUUCAGCCGCGACCCUGUCUUCUAUCUUAUCCCUUUUCCAGCACGGCGGGGCGGUGGUGGGCUCGCGGGAGAUGGCGCUCGGGGAGGCGGCGGCGCGCUCGGGCGCCGCAUCAGGCGGCGGAAGCGAGGUGGGGAGGCGGCGUUGCGCUCCAGGGAUGCAACAGAGAGGCGUCGAGGCGGCGGUGCCCUCGAGCGCCGCAUUAGGCGGCGACAUCGAGGCGGGGAGGCGGCGCUGCGCUCCGAGGAUGCAGCAGCGAGGCGUCGAGGAGCCGCUGUGCUCGGGUGCCGCAUCAGGCGGCGGCAGCGAGGCAGGAGGCGCACGGGGAGAUGAAGGAGGAGAAAAUGGAGAGUCGGCCGGGGCACGGACCACAGCGGCGCAAGCUUGCAGGGGGCGAUGGCCAUAGCAGGGAGGCGGCGCUACGCUCGGGCACCGCAUGCCUCCUCUGUAUCUCCUUUCUUUCUUCCCCAACUCCUUCUCUCUUGCACGUCGCCGUCUUGCUGGCCACGCAGUAAAGAAAUCGAGGAAGAGGCGGGAGUCGGGUCAAUCGAUCUGUCGCACGACGGAUGCUGCACUCCCUUUUCCAUCUAGCAACGGGCCGCAGAGGGAGGUGGAAGAGGAGCCACAACCUCCGAGCAGGAUGCUGCCGCCUAACACGCAUCUGACCAUGAGCUGGAGGAUAAGGUUGGAGAUUUGGUAUCGGAUGCUGCUCCAAGAAUGAGGGGCCAAGGUGCUGAUCUAACAGCAGGGGGAGGAUGAUUCUUCAGGUAACAACAUAGCCCGUCGACUGGAGAGUUAAGUUAACUGUUUGCUUUACUUGAAGCUCCAAAUUGUAGUUAUUUUAUUCGUUCACUGAUUUGGUAUAAUCUUAAUCUAGGAGGAUUAUCACUGUAUGAUAUGAGAUACUGAAGUUUAGCAAUGAUAAAAGUCUGAUGUUGAAUGGUUCUUUUCGGAAGUACAGUUGUAAGAUCUAUGAUUCUAGCUUCGACCUUUAACUGGACAGUACUAAUUGGACAUAUAAUUGAUGAUUUAUGCACAGCAAGAUAUUCUGUUGCUUUUAGUUCUUCAAUCAGAUUCAUCUAGCCCUUUGUUGACUUUCUAAUUGUUCCACCCUCUACCUCUAAAACUCAGAAAUCAGAGAAAGGUCAUUGGCAAUUUGGCAUAUCCCUGUCACUGGCGAAGGUUUGCUAGAGAGGAAGAGGACCAAAAUCAUGUUUUCUAUUGUUGGGGGCAUACAUAAUACAUAUAGAUAAAUUUGGACCAUUUAUAACAGAGAUUUCUUGCCAAAAAUAUUAACUCUGUCCAGCAGUGGGCAUUGUCAAGGUAAUAAAAGGAAUUUGCUGAACCUAAUUGAAUGAAAGAGGGAUGGCUAAUCCGAUUGAGAACCUUCUGUAACUGAAUAGACUUACGAACGAUAACAAUAGUAAAUAGUUCCAAUUAACAGACGUUGUUUGAUUAAAAUACUAAUUUAAGAAUUUGGCGAAUCUAUAAUUCUCUACAUAAUCAGUUAGUGUAUUUUUGAUCACCGGGUUAUCCUAGACCACUUGGGGACAGUAUCAUCAAUUUCUUGCAUACUGCAAUGCAAGUUUUAAAAGCCAGUUUCUUAUGUUUCCUAUUAUCUUUAUGUUCACCUAACUGCCAAGAAUCAUAAAGGAUGCACCUAAGGAGGUAUAUUUUGUUUUAUGCAUUUUUUUAAGUGUACAGAUGCUGCAACUGAUUAACAAAACAUUGUUCAACCUUCUAUGAGUCUGCCUAGGGAGCUGCACAGAUUUGGAACAACUUCCAGAACAUGCACCAAGCAUUUUGGUCAGGUACCACUAAGCUGCCAGAGCAAGAUAGCUGGGAUGUCAAGUCCCUAGGGCAAUGGUAAAUCUCAAAUUGCCUGAUGUUCGAUGGGAAGCAUCAGACAAUACCAAUGCCCAGUAGUAAGAUCUGAUUGUGCAGGUGGUCAAGCCAAGAUAAGUGUGCGUGCAUCACCGUUUAGUCGAGAUUUAGAAAAAGAUGAUGUCUGCUAUGAUAGUUUCCAGAAUAGUUUGGCCCUUGAGACACUUCCACUGUAUGCAUGUGUGUUCCUUUUUUUCCAAAGAUAUGCAUGUCUAUUGAUUAUUAUUGGAAUUGGUUCAACAAACAGUGCAUAUGUGACAAAAUUACUAAAAUAUACUGACCGAGCCUGAUAAUAUGACUAAUCCAUAUAGUGGAUAUGCGCCAAUGCUCAAAUUUUAAAAAUGAAGGAUUCAACUUUUUUGGAUUAUUAUUAUUUGUGAACUCGCGAGUAUGCCUAGCAAUCGUAAAAAAAUAUAUAGUUCGACUUAGUGGUAGGUUCUGCAGUAGUCUUGCCUUGAAGGUUCCGUUCAUAGUAAAAAUUGAUAUGUCUUUAUGAAGUAAUCUGAGCAUUUUGUUGGUUGCAGGUCAACUUUGUUCUCCAAUAUAGGUGGUGUAUGUUUGUGCAAAAUGAUUAUGAAAGGACUUCUGGUAACUUUAUCUUUUGUCAAGGUUGUUUACUUGGUGGAGCAAACUUCCAUUUCCUCUGAACAGGUGAACAUGACAUGUGUGAUGGCUGUUAGCCCUAAUGAGCUUUAGACAUGUAUCUGAGGUUUCGUUGGCUGUGAACAAGUAGGGUCAACGAGUCGAGCAGAUCCCGGACCAUCACAUGAACACAUGAAACAGGUCGAUACCGGCAGCUUUUGGUAACCAUUCUAAGAUCUAGCACCUUGAUGCAAGCCAGAAUAGCCUCACUGGAUCAACAUUCCCGGGAAUAACAGAAUUGGUGAACCAGUUGACACUUGAUCUUAACUAAUCAGUUAAUUAAACCCUGAAUCUGAAUGAAGGGCUCCUUGAUUAAUUUUUUCACAAGUAGUCCAAUGAUUCAGGGGUUUAGACUUUAGUGUUUUUGGAUUAUUACGGGGCAGCAACCCUGCUUUUGAGCACACCCAAACAAAUUGAAUCAGGGUCUCUGCUUUUGGUUGUUCAAGUUUGUGGUAAAUCAUUAUGAACAAUUGUGUUUCCGGUGGCAGCUAAAUACAUUGGUAGAUCUGCACCAUACUCUGCUCCUAUUGAUUGAUGAUCACAAGUCACAACCCAAUUUUAGAUCUAUCUGAUUUGUUUCGUUUAGUGUUGGAUGGUGCAAAUUAAAGAAAGUGUACUGUCAUUCAUCAAUUUACUAAAUCUGGCCUGAAUGCGCCGUUGCCUGGAUUUCUAAAUCUUAUCCAAUUAUCUGGUCAUCAUUUCCUUAGCUGUUUGACUGGAGCACAUUCUCUUGAUUGAGGAGAUGAAUCUAACUGAACCUUCUUAGCUUAGAAACAAAAGUCGUUCUUUCGAUGAACCGAGAACUAUUGCGGUUAAUUUGUCAGCAAUUGUGUUCCUUCUGUACUUUAAUUCUUGGUCUGUGUUGAGUUGGGGGAUUUUUACAGUCUGACAACAAGAAUCUUAGACAGUUUGAAAUUAGUUGUUUUUUGGAUUAUCAAGUGAGAGAGACAUGGUCCUUGAGUUGCUGUACCAAUGUAUGUUUAGGGUUUAGUGAGAUUUUCUUCCUGUAAGGUGCGGUUCUUGGGGGUAGAUAAAAUACCAGUCACAUUCAAUUUGUUGUGAAGUCUACCAUUUUAGUUCAAAUGCCACCUUACCAAAAACAGAGAACACUUUUGCCACUGGAGUAGGAUAACAAACAUGAAACCAGUUAAUCAGUGUAUCAUAGAUGACUGCUUAUUUCUAAAUCACCAGGGCGCUCUCCCUGCAACGGAACUACUUGGGCGUCUUUGACGGCAGCAUGCUUGAUACCGAGGCUGAAGACUAGCAUGGUUGAUGAGCUAAAGUGGCGGGUGGAGCUGGACCACAAGUCCACGGCACUCGUGUAGAAGGAUCACGUCGGCGGUAGCGGCUGCCCAGGCCAUGGCCAUGAUCACCAAUCUGCAGGAGAAGGUGGCAAUGCGGACGGAGGAGUAUCGAUUGGUCAUGGAGGAGCAGAGUGUGUAUGAUUGUGAUGAGGCUGAGCGUCUGGCUGCUGAGAAGUGCUUUGUUUUGGGCAAGCCAAAAUACUUGAAAAAAAAAGAGAAAAUACUCUUUCCAACUAAGCAACCAACUAUUUGUAAAAGUUCCUAAAAAUGCUCUAAAAAAAACUAUAUGCAAAAAAAAACCUAACACAGUAAAUAUAGUUUGAGAAUGUU